rnacentral:rRNA from 1 species
UACGUAGGGGGCAAGCGUUGUCCGGAUUUAUUGGGCGUAAAGAGCGUGUAGGCGGCCAUACAGGUCAGCUGUGAAAACUCGAGGCUCAACCUCGAGACGUCGGUUGAAACCGUAUGGCUAGAGUCCGGAAGAGGAGAGUGGAAUUCCCGGUGUGAGCGGUGAAAUGCGCAGAUAUCGGGAAGAACACCCCGUGGCGAAGGCGGCUCUCUGGGACGGUACUGACGCUGAGACGCGAAAGCCAGGGGAGCGAACGGG